GCUCUCGCGCCUUUUAACUGGAGGUGGAAGAUCACUAACUCCAACUGAGAUUCGACAAUCCGGAUGUAAAGAAAGCAUAUAGAGCUGCAUGUGGAUAGAAGCAUUUACCAUGUUGUCACAGUGUUCUCUUAUGAAGUCUACUUCCGCUGCAUUCCUCUGGUAGCCUUCCAUCUGAGCUAACAUUGAUUCCUUCUCUGUCGUGACCAUAGCCAGCUGGGUGCGGAGAUUCUGUUGAAAGAGGUGGCAUAUAUAUGAUCAGGAACUUGAUCAGAAACAAUGAUCACAAUCAAAUAUGCAGUUCCCGAUGAUGGGAAAGGAGGAGGAACCUCUAGGUCUUGAACUAGCUGUUGCUCAGCAUCUAUCUCCUUGAGUGUAGCUAGAUUCUCUCCCUCUAACCGAACAUUCUCAUCGUUGUUAUUGGUAUUCGCUUCGCCAGAAACACAAGGUGAUACUCCAGAUGGUAUCUCUGAGUCCAGCUGCUCCGUCUGUAGACAACAAAUGAUUAUUGUGGUUUUGAGUUCUGCAUGGAGACACUAAGCCAGCAAAAGGGAGAACUGAACUACUGUAUCUUACCACUUUGUGUCGGUCGCUCUCAAUGUUUGAUCUUCUCUCGUCGUGAUCUCGAGACAAUUCACUGAGACAACCAACAGAAUGCAAUUACUAGCAAUCUAGCAUAACAUCAAUCGGCCGAAAGCAUCAUUUACGACAAGGCUGUUAAAACGACCUGCAUUUCUCCGCUAGUUCAUCUUCCUUCUUCAACAAUGUUUCCUUGAGGACCUUGUAUUCUUCUUGGCAGGAUUCCAGUUCGCCUUGUACCUAGGGUGUCAUACGAGUGUCGUUAUAUAAAGCCAAUGGAAC
rnacentral:lncRNA from 1 species